UACGAAGGGGGGCUAGCGUUGCUCGGAAUCACUGGGCGUAAAGCGCACGUAGGCGGACUCUUAAGUCGGUGGUGAAAUCCCGGGGCUCAACCCCCGGAACUGCCUUUGAUACUGGGUAUCUCGAGUCCGAGAGAGGUGAGUGGAAUUCCGAGUGUAGAGGUGAAAUUCGUAGAUAUUCGGAGGAACACCAGUGGCGAAGGCGGCUCACUGGCUCGGUACUGACGCUGAGGUGCGAAAGCGUGGGGGAGCAAACAGG
rnacentral:rRNA from 1 species